rnacentral:rRNA from 1 species
GAUGAACGCUAGCUACAGGCUUAACACAUGCAAGUCGAGGGGAAACGAUGAGAGAGCUUGCUCUCUUAGUCGUCGACCGGCGCACGGGUGAGUAACGCGUAUCCAACCUGCCUCUGACCAAGGGAUAACCCGUCGAAAGUCGGACUAAUACCUUAUGCAGUCGUCGGAAGUCCUCUGAUGACGACGAAAGAUUUCAUCGGUGAGAGAUGGGGAUGCGUCUGAUUAGCUUGUUGGCGGGGUAACGGCCCACCAAGGCGACGAUCAGUAGGGGUUCUGAGAGGAAGGUCCCCCAAAUUGGAACUGAGACACGGUCCAAACUCGUACGGGAGGCAGCAGUGAGGAAUAGUGGUGAAUGGGCGUAAGCCUGAACCAGCCAAGUAGCGUGCAGGAGGACGGCCCUAUGGGUUGUAAACUGCUUGUAUGCGGGGAUAAAGUGAGGGACGUGUCCUUCAUUGCAGGUACCGCAUGAAUAAGGACCGGCUAAUUCCGUG